AUACGUAGGGGGCAAGCGUUAUCCGGAAUUACUGGGUGUAAAAGGGUGCGUAGGCGGUAAUAUAAGUCAGGUGUGAAAGCCCGGGGCUCAACCUCGGGACUGCACUUGAAACUAUAUAACUAGAGUACAGGAGAGGAAGGCGGAAUUCCUAGUGUAGCGGUGAAAUGCGUAGAUAUUAGGAGGAACACCAGUGGCGAAGGCGGCCUUCUGGACUGUAACUGACGCUGAGGCAC
rnacentral:rRNA from 1 species